rnacentral:rRNA from 3 species
GGGUUGUGAGGUUAAGCGACUAAGCGUACACGGUGGAUGCCCUGGCAGUCAGAGGCGAUGAAGGACGUGCUAAUCUGCGAUAAGCGUCGGUAAGGUGAUAUGAACCGUUAUAACCGGCGAUUUCCGAAUGGGGAAACCCAGUGUGAUUCGUCACACUAUCAUUAACUGAAUCCAUAGGUUAAUGAGGCGAACCGGGGGAACUGAAACAUCUAAGUACCCCGAGGAAAAGAAAUCAACCGAGAUUCCCCCAGUAGCGGCGAGCGAACGGGGAGCAGCCCAGAGCCUGAAUCAGUGUGUGUGUUAGUGGAAGCGUCUGGAAAGGCGCGCGAUACAGGGUGACAGCCCCGUACACAAAAAUGCACAUGCUGUGAGCUCGAUGAGUAGGGCGGGACACGUGGUAUCCUGUCUGAAUAUGGGGGGACCAUCCUCCAAGGCUAAAUACUCCUGACUGACCGAUAGUGAACCAGUACCGUGAGGGAAAGGCGAAAAGAACCCCGGCGAGGGGAGUGAAAAAGAACCUGAAACCGUGUACGUACAAGCAGUGGGAGCACAGAGCAAUCUGUGUGACUGCGUACCUUUUGUAUAAUGGGUCAGCGACUUAUAUUCUGUAGCAAGGUUAACCGAAUAGGGGAGCCGAAGGGAAACCGAGUCUUAACUGGGCGUUAAGUUGCAGGGUAUAGACCCGAAACCCGGUGAUCUAGCCAUGGGCAGGUUGAAGGUUGGGUAACACUAACUGGAGGACCGAACCGACUAAUGUUGAAAAAUUAGCGGAUGACUUGUGGCUGGGGGUGAAAGGCCAAUCAAACCGGGAGAUAGCUGGUUCUCCCCGAAAGCUAUUUAGGUAGCGCCUCGUGAAUUCAUCUCCGGGGGUAGAGCACUGUUUCGGCAAGGGGGUCAUCCCGACUUACCAACCCGAUGCAAACUGCGAAUACCGGAGAAUGUUAUCACGGGAGACACACGGCGGGUGCUAACGUCCGUCGUGAAGAGGGAAACAACCCAGACCGCCAGCUAAGGUCCCAAAGUCAUGGUUAAGUGGGAAACGAUGUGGGAAGGCCCAGACAGCCAGGAUGUUGGCUUAGAAGCAGCCAUCAUUUAAAGAAAGCGUAAUAGCUCACUGGUCGAGUCGGCCUGCGCGGAAGAUGUAACGGGGCUAAACCAUGCACCGAAGCUGCGGCAGCGACGCUGAUGCGUUGUUGGGUAGGGGAGCGUUCUGUAAGCCUGUGAAGGUGUGCUGUGAGGCAUGCUGGAGGUAUCAGAAGUGCGAAUGCUGACAUAAGUAACGAUAAAGCGGGUGAAAAGCCCGCUCGCCGGAAGACCAAGGGUUCCUGUCCAACGUUAAUCGGGGCAGGGUGAGUCGACCCCUAAGGCGAGGCCGAAAGGCGUAGUCGAUGGGAAACAGGUUAAUAUUCCUGUACUUGGUGUUACUGCGAAGGGGGGACGGAGAAGGCUAUGUUGGCCGGGCGACGGUUGUCCCGGUUUAAGCGUGUAGGCUGGUUUUCCAGGCAAAUCCGGAAAAUCAAGGCUGAGGCGUGAUGACGAGGCACUACGGUGCUGAAGCAACAAAUGCCCUGCUUCCAGGAAAAGCCUCUAAGCAUCAGGUAACAUCAAAUCGUACCCCAAACCGACACAGGUGGUCAGGUAGAGAAUACCAAGGCGCUUGAGAGAACUCGGGUGAAGGAACUAGGCAAAAUGGUGCCGUAACUUCGGGAGAAGGCACGCUGAUAUGUAGGUGAAGUCCCUCGCGGAUGGAGCUGAAAUCAGUCGAAGAUACCAGCUGGCUGCAACUGUUUAUUAAAAACACAGCACUGUGCAAACACGAAAGUGGACGUAUACGGUGUGACGCCUGCCCGGUGCCGGAAGGUUAAUUGAUGGGGUCAGCGCAAGCGAAGCUCUUGAUCGAAGCCCCGGUAAACGGCGGCCGUAACUAUAACGGUCCUAAGGUAGCGAAAUUCCUUGUCGGGUAAGUUCCGACCUGCACGAAUGGCGUAAUGAUGGCCAGGCUGUCUCCACCCGAGACUCAGUGAAAUUGAACUCGCUGUGAAGAUGCAGUGUACCCGCGGCAAGACGGAAAGACCCCGUGAACCUUUACUAUAGCUUGACACUGAACAUUGAGCCUUGAUGUGUAGGAUAGGUGGGAGGCUUUGAAGUGUGGACGCCAGUCUGCAUGGAGCCGGCCUUGAAAUACCACCCUUUAAUGUUUGAUGUUCUAACGUUGACCCGUGAUCCGGGUUGCGGACAGUGUCUGGUGGGUAGUUUGACUGGGGCGGUCUCCUCCUAAAGAGUAACGGAGGAGCACGAAGGUUGGCUAAUCCUGGUCGGACAUCAGGAGGUUAGUGCAAUGGCAUAAGCCAGCUUGACUGCGAGCGUGACGGCGCGAGCAGGUGCGAAAGCAGGUCAUAGUGAUCCGGUGGUUCUGAAUGGAAGGGCCAUCGCUCAACGGAUAAAAGGUACUCCGGGGAUAACAGGCUGAUACCGCCCAAGAGUUCAUAUCGACGGCGGUGUUUGGCACCUCGAUGUCGGCUCAUCACAUCCUGGGGCUGAAGUAGGUCCCAAGGGUAUGGCUGUUCGCCAUUUAAAGUGGUACGCGAGCUGGGUUUAGAACGUCGUGAGACAGUUCGGUCCCUAUCUGCCGUGGGCGCUGGAGAACUGAGGGGGGCUGCUCCUAGUACGAGAGGACCGGAGUGGACGCAUCACUGGUGUUCGGGUUGUCAUGCCAAUGGCACUGCCCGGUAGCUAAAUGCGGAAGAGAUAAGUGCUGAAAGCAUCUAAGCACGAAACUUGCCCCGAGAUGAGUUCUCCCUGACUCCUUGAGAGUCCUGAAGGAACGUUGAAGACGACGACGUUGAUAGGCCGGGUGUGUAAGCGCAGCGAUGCGUUGAGCUAACCGGUACUAAUGAACCGUGAGGCUUAACCUUACAACGCCGAAGGUGUUU